rnacentral:rRNA from 1 species
UACAGAGGAGCCAAGCGUUGUCCGGAUUCACUGGGCGUAAAGGGUGCGUAGGCGGUCAUUUAAGUCUGACGUGAAAUCUCCGGGCCUAACCCGGAAACUGCGUUGGAAACUAUCUGACUAGAGGAAUGGAGGGGAGACUGGAAUACUUGGUGUAGCAGUGAAAUGCGUAGAUAUCAAGUGGAACACCAGUGGCGAAGGCGAGUCUCUGGACAGUUCCUGACGCUGAGGCACGAAAGCCAGGGGAGCAAACGGG